UGUGCACGAUGCCAGGUUCCCUUCCAUGUGCACCAGCCUCCAGGAUAGAAGGCUUGUGGGAAAUGCACACCAUUCCUGUGUGAAGCAUGCCAAGUGCCCCUCUGUGUUAUUCUGGACAGAGACUGUCACAAGUAUUUUCACAGCUAGGGUGGCCUGUGUAUAUGUAGUGGUGUCUUUCUGUUUAGUUCUGAUGAUGUACAUUAUUUUUUAUUUACACAAGACAUGGUCUUUGUUUUUUUUCACCAUUUAAUUGUUUAGUCAACAAUCCUCUCAAAAGCAAUAUGUUAUCUUUUUGAUUAUACAAAUUUAAAGGCACUCUUAUCACAGUCUUUUGCAUGUUCAGUUCCUAUAAUGUACAGUUUUAACCCCUCAAUUGUAUAGUGAGUAUAUAUGUAUAUAUAUUGAGUAUAGUGCAUAAUUGAAUAUAUAGAGUAUUGUAAUUGAAUAUUUCAUAAGGUCUUCUGUUUUUUACCGCUUAAUUGUGUAAUCAACAUUGCUCUCAAAAGAAAUGUAUCAUCUGUUUCACUACACAGCUAAAAAGGCGUUAAUUGCACUGUUUAUAAAAAUGAAUGUAUCUUACAAACUAAUUUAUGUACAUAGUUCAGUGUUUUAUGGAGGUUUUUUACACUGACAAGUUUGAGGUUGGCAUUUGUUAUAUUUAUGUAUUUUAAAAAAAUGUGAAUGAUUAGAAACGAUUAGAAUUUCUUUGGGUGUUUAUUGCAAUUUUCAGCUAUUUAUUGAUUUAUUAGUAAUUUAUUACAUACAUAGCUUUCAAAUUGGGGUUGUAAAACGCCUCUCAAUCUCAGCAUUGUGUAUCUUGUUCAUUUAAUCUGUACACAAACAGAAAUGUACAAAUAAAAAUUUGUAGUUUUACAAGAAGUAAAACCUACUAAAGCCAGGUGCAGUGACUUUCUGUACAUUUGUUUUCACUGUGAAGUUGCCAAUCCUAUGUUCUCUUACCAUUAAACAGCAUCACUCCU